GGUACGGGGGGGGGUAAGCGUUGUUCGGAAUUACUGGGGCGUAAAGGGCUCGUAGGCGGCCAACUAAGUCAGACGUGAAAUCCCUCAGCUUAACUGGGGAACUGCGUCUGAUACUGGAUGGCUUGGAUUCGGGAGAGGAAUGCGGAAUUCCAGGUGUAGCGGUAGAAAUGCGUAGAUAUCUGGAGGAACACCGGUGGCGAAGGCGGCAUUCUGGACCGACAUUGACGCUGAGGAGCGAAAGCCAGGGGGAGCAAACGGG
rnacentral:rRNA from 1 species